rnacentral:rRNA from 1 species
UUGAACGCUGGCGGCAUGCUUUACACAUGCAAGUCGAACGGUAACAGGGAGCUUGCUCCGCUGACGAGUGGCGAACGGGUGAGUAAUAUAUCGGAACAUGUCCGGAAGUGGGGGAUAACGUACCGAAAGGUACGCUAAUACCGCAUAUGCCCUGAGGGGGAAAGGGGGGGAUCGCAAGACCUCUCGCUUUCGGAGUGGCCGAUAUCGGAUUAGCUAGUUGGUGAGGUAAAGGCUCACCAAGGCGACGAUCCGUAGCUGGUCUGAGAGGACGACCAGCCACACUGGAACUGAGACACGGUCCAGACUCCUACGGGAGGCAGCAGUGGGGAAUUUUGGACAAUGGGCGCAAGCCUGAUCCAGCCAUGCCGCGUGAGUGAAGAAGGCCUUCGGGUUGUAAAGCUCUUUCAGCCGGAAAGAAAACGCACAGGUUAAUACCUUGUGUGGAUGACGGUACCGGAAGAAGAAGCACCGGCUAACUACGU